CACACUAUCAUUAACUGAAUCCAUAGGUUAAUGAGGCGAACCGGGGGAACUGAAACAUCUAAGUACCCCGAGGAAAAGAAAUCAACCGAGAUUCCCCCAGUAGCGGCGAGCGAACGGGGAGCAGCCCAGAGCCUGAAUCAGUGUGUGUGUUAGUGGAAGCGUCUGGAAAGGCGCGCGAUACAGGGUGACAGCCCCGUACACAAAAAUGCACAUACUGUGAGCUCGAUGAGUAGGGCGGGACACGUGGUAUCCUGUCUGAAUAUGGGGGGACCAUCCUCCAAGGCUAAAUACUCCUGACUGACCGAUAGUGAACCAGUACCGUGAGGGAAAGGCGAAAAGAACCCCGGCGAGGGGAGUGAAAAAGAACCUGAAACCGUGUACGUACAAGCAGUGGGAGCCUCUUAAUGGGGUGACUGCGUACCUUUUGUAUAAUGGGUCAGCGACUUAUAUUCUGUAGCAAGGUUAACCGAAUAGGGGAGCCGAAGGGAAACCGAGUCUUAACUGGGCGUUAAGUUGCAGGGUAUAGACCCGAAACCCGGUGAUCUAGCCAUGGGCAGGUUGAAGGUUGGGUAACACUAACUGGAGGACCGAACCGACUAAUGUUGAAAAAUUAGCGGAUGACUUGUGGCUGGGGGUGAAAGGCCAAUCAAACCGGGAGAUAGCUGGUUCUCCCCGAAAGCUAUUUAGGUAGCGCCUCGUGAAUUCAUCUCCGGGGGUAGAGCACUGUUUCGGCAAGGGGGUCAUCCCGACUUACCAACCCGAUGCAAACUGCGAAUACCGGAGAAUGUUAUCACGGGAGACACACGGCGGGUGCUAACGUCCGUCGUGAAGAGGGAAACAACCCAGACCGCCAGCUAAGGUCCCAAAGUCAUGGUUAAGUGGGAAACGAUGUGGGAAGGCCCAGACAGCCAGGAUGUUGGCUUAGAAGCAGCCAUCAUUUAAAGAAAGCGUAAUAGCUCACUGGUCGAGUCGGCCUGCGCGGAAGAUGUAACGGGGCUAAACCAUGCACCGAAGCUGCGGCAGCGACACUAUGUGUUGUUGGGUAGGGGAGCGUUCUGUAAGCCUGUGAAGGUGUACUGUGAGGUAUGCUGGAGGUAUCAGAAGUGCGAAUGCUGACAUAAGUAACGAUAAAGCGGGUGAAAAGCCCGCUCGCCGGAAGACCAAGGGUUCCUGUCCAACGUUAAUCGGGGCAGGGUGAGUCGACCCCUAAGGCGAGGCCGAAAGGCGUAGUCGAUGGGAAACAGGUUAAUAUUCCUGUACUUGGUGUUACUGCGAAGGGGGGACGGAGAAGGCUAUGUUGGCCGGGCGACGGUUGUCCCGGUUUAAGCGUGUAGGCUGGUUUUCCAGGCAAAUCCGGAAAAUCAAGGCUGAGGCGUGAUGACGAGGCACUACGGUGCUGAAGCAACAAAUGCCCUGCUUCCAGGAAAAGCCUCUAAGCAUCAGGUAACAUCAAAUCGUACCCCAAACCGACACAGGUGGUCAGGUAGAGAAUACCAAGGCGCUUGAGAGAACUCGGGUGAAGGAACUAGGCAAAAUGGUGCCGUAACUUCGGGAGAAGGCACGCUGAUAUGUAGGUGAAGUCCCUCGCGGAUGGAGCUGAAAUCAGUCGAAGAUACCAGCUGGCUGCAACUGUUUAUUAAAAACACAGCACUGUGCAAACACGAAAGUGGACGUAUACGGUGUGACGCCUGCCCGGUGCCGGAAGGUUAAUUGAUGGGGUUAGCGGUAACGCGAAGCUCUUGAUCGAAGCCCCGGUAAACGGCGGCCGUAACUAUAACGGUCCUAAGGUAGCGAAAUUCCUUGUCGGGUAAGUUCCGACCUGCACGAAUGGCGUAAUGAUGGCCAGGCUGUCUCCACCCGAGACUCAGUGAAAUUGAACUCGCUGUGAAGAUGCAGUGUACCCGCGGCAAGACGGAAAGACCCCGUGAACCUUUACUAUAGCUUGACACUGAACAUUGAGCCUUGAUGUGUAGGAUAGGUGGGAGGCUUUGAAGUGUGGACGCCAGUCUGCAUGGAGCCGGCCUUGAAAUACCACCCUUUAAUGUUUGAUGUUCUAACGUUGGCCCCUGAUCGGGGUUGCGGACAGUGUCUGGUGGGUAGUUUGACUGGGGCGGUCUCCUCCUAAAGAGUAACGGAGGAGCACGAAGGUUGGCUAAUCCUGGUCGGACAUCAGGAGGUUAGUGCAAUGGCAUAAGCCAGCUUGACUGCGAGCGUGACGGCGCGAGCAGGUGCGAAAGCAGGUCAUAGUGAUCCGGUGGUUCUGAAUGGAAGGGCCAUCGCUCAACGGAUAAAAGGUACUCCGGGGAUAACAGGCUGAUACCGCCCAAGAGUUCAUAUCGACGGCGGUGUUUGGCACCUCGAUGUCGGCUCAUCACAUCCUGGGGCUGAAGUAGGUCCCAAGGGUAUGGCUGUUCGCCAUUUAAAGUGGUACGCGAGCUGGGUUUAGAACGUCGUGAGACAGUUCGGUCCCUAUCUGCCGUGGGCGCUGGAGAACUGAGGGGGGCUGCUCCUAGUACGAGAGGACCGGAGUGGACGCAUCACUGGUGUUCGGGUUGUCAUGCCAAUGGCACUGCCCGGUAGCUAAAUGCGGAAGAGAUAAGUGCUGAAAGCAUCUAAGCACGAAACUUGCCCCGAGAUGAGUUCUCCCUGACUCCUUGAGAGUCCUGAAGGAACGUUGAAGACGACGACGUUGAUAGGCCGGGUGUGUAAGCGCAGCGAUGCGUUGAGCUAACCGGUACUAAUGAACCGUGAGGCUUAACCUUACAACGCCGAAGGUGUUU
rnacentral:rRNA from 1 species